UUAGCUCAUAUUUGUAUGGAAUGGGAUCGUUUGCGUACGUUUGCCGCUAGGGGCGCUGUUCCAAUUGCAUACAAAAAUAGGUUA
rnacentral:pre_miRNA from 1 species